UACAGAGGUCUCAAGCGUUGUUCGGAUUCAUUGGGCGUAAAGGGUGCGCAGGCGGCCGUGUGUGUGAGGCGUGAAAGCCUGGAGCUUAACUCCAGAAUUGCACCUCAAACUACAUGGCUAGAGCAUUGGAGAGGGUAGCAGAAUUCACGGUGUAGCAGUGAAAUGCGUAGAUAUCGUGAGGAAUACCAGAGGCGAAGGCGGCUACCUGGACAAUUGCUGACGCUCAGGCACGAAAGCGUGGGGAGCGAACAGG
rnacentral:rRNA from 1 species